GAUGAAGAACGUAGCGAAACGCGAUAAGUAAUGUGAAUUGCAGAAUCCAGUGAAUCAUCGAAUCUUUGAACGCACAUUGCGCCCGCCAGCAUUCUGGCGGGCAUGCCUGUUCGAGCGUCAUUUCAACCCUCGACCUCCCCUUGGGGAGGUCGGCGUUGGGGACCGGCAGCACACCGCCGGCCCUGAAAUGGAGUGGCGGCCCGUCCGCGGCGACCUCUGCGCAGUAAUACAGCUCGCACCGGGACCCCGACGCGGACACGCCGUAAAACACCCAACUUCUGAACGUUGACCUCGAAUCAGGUAGGACUACCCGCUGAACUUAGGCAUAUCAAUAAGCGGAGGA
rnacentral:misc_RNA from 1 species